rnacentral:misc_RNA from 1 species
UGGCUCUCGCAUCGAUGAAGAACGCAGCGAAAUGCGAUAAGUAAUGUGAAUUGCAGAAUUCAGUGAAUCAUCGAAUCUUUGAACGCACCUUGCACCCUCUGGUAUUCCGAAGGGUACGCCCGUUUGAGUGUCAUUGUACUCUCAACCCCACGACUUUUUUGUUGUGUGGGUUGGACUUGGAUCUUGUCGUGAUUUGCGACUGAUCCGAAAUGCAUUAGUGUGUGUCUGUCGUGACAAUAAACCGAUUGUUAAGUUUCAUCGGGCUCGCUCUGUCGAGGUUGUCUGGCGAAAGCACAUGCCAAACCCCCCUUCAUUUUUGACAAUUUGACCUCAAAUCGGGUGGGAUCACCCGCUGA